AGAACCAAGCAGGUCCUUCAUGGACAAGGCAAAGCUGGAAAUACUUGACCUGUCUGGCAACAGUGAAAUGAAAAUUCUACCAAACAGCCUAUCUAAAGCAAGUAGCCUUCAAGUGCUUAUUCUGGAUGGUUGCAAUGAACUUAAAAAUGUUGCUAUCCCUGAUGGGCUACCUCGCUUGCUGAAGUGCUUCAGCCUUGAUGGAUAUGGGCCAGCUUUCAUUCGUGCGCCUACUGUCGAGCUACCUCUAAAACAAGAACGUCCUUCGAUCCCAGCAACUAAGGAAGGUGCCAGUAUCUCUAAGAUUUCCCUCGAAAGUUGCUCACAAUUGGAGAAUAUGUUCAUGCGUGGGUUGCCCAACCUCGUUGAGCUUGACCUCUCUGGAACCGCAAUCAAGACACUUGAUUUCAAUACUAUGGUAUUAGAAGUCCCAAUGCUGAAGCAACUAUUUCUGCUAGGAUGUGAGCACCUUCGGGCAAUAAUUUGGAGCUCUAAAGAUAGCUUCCAUUUGAAUUUGUUGUGCAUAGACACACGAGCUGGAACUGGCCAUCCACGGCCAUGCACUGACCCCAAAAAAUCCUUUCGUUUGGAGGUGCAUGCCACUGUUGUGGAUGCCAGGCUUCUUUGGUCGUUGUGGCAUCCAUUAUAUAGUCAUUAUGCAAUUAUUAAGGAUGUUUAUUUUAAUAUCCAUGCCACCUCAGCUGUGUAUAAUGGAACGAUUGAAUCCGAAGUGGCAUACAAGGAGAAGAAGAUUGACAUGUAUGGAGAUAAAGUCAGCCUAUCGCAGCUUGUUCAAGCAGACCGGUAUAGUGAUGUCCAAAGCAUGGCCGGUGAUGCUCCGAUGCUGGCCUUCCCUAAGCCUCUGACUAACAACUUGGAUCGGCAUAUUGAGAUUGCUGAAGGGAGCCACUCCUUUGAGAGUGGACUAUAUGAUAUGAUGAAAUUUUUUGCCGAAUCCCUGCAUGUCCACGAUGUCUCAACUAGUGCUGGUUUGCCUGGGGUACACUGGGAGUUCCUCAGGCAGUGCCGCAUGGAGAGAUGCCCCAAGUUGGGUGAAGUCUUCUAGAGGGGAUCAGAUCUAUUUAAGGAUCUGGAGACCUUCUGGGUGUCAGAUCUCCUAACAACCCGCUGGAUAUGCAGUAAAGGUUACCGCAGAUUCAAUGAUGGUUCGUUCAGAAAACUGCAACACUUACAGUUGCGCUCUUGCCCCAGGCUCCAAUUCGUGCUCCCUGUGUGGGUCGACUCCUUCCCAAGUUUGGAGACCCUCCACAUCAUCCACUGCGGAGACCUCAGGCACAUAUUCGUGCUAGACGAGAAAUGGUACCCAAGGCUGGCCACCAUCCAAGUUGUAGCAUUCCCAAGGCUGACCACCAUCCACCUGCAUGACCUGCCAGUGCUGCAGCAGAUAUCUGAGUUCAAGAUGGUGGCACCGGAGCUCAAGACCAUCAAGAUCAGAGGAUGCUGGGGCAUGCGCCGGCUGCGGGUGGUGUGUGCCCGUAGCAGAGGCAUGAAGAAGCCAUCCGUUGAGAUCGAGAAAGACGUCUGGGAUGCGCUGGAGUGGGACGGGGAGGUGGCCCCUGGCCACUUCGAGACGCCGCUGCACUCACGCUACUACAAGAAGAAACUACCCAGGGUCUCCGUCCUCAGGUGAUCCUUGCGCUGUGCUGCACUGAUGUGGUUCUUCCAUCCUUAAUGGGAGACCAGAUGGAUGCUCGCUCCUGCAGGUCCUGCUGUCUGCUGCAUGUGGGGUUGGUUUAUUGUGUGCUUCCGGCCCGGGUUGCUUGAAAGAGAUUUGCAGGUGGUGUCAGUCGUCGAUUGAUUGACUCCUACUGCUACUGUGUGUUUUUGUGUCACGUGUGAGCUUGUGGUGGCUCCCAUCUUUGUGGCUUUCAAAUAAGAUGCAGCAUGGUUCUUGGCUGCGGCACCGUCGUGUGUGCGGGAGUAUGGCUUGCGAUUGAGGAUGCCUGCUUGCUGCCUCUUGGCUGCAUGAGUAUGAACCUGGAGUGAUUGACUAAGCAGCAGCCCUGUGUGCCUGCGUGCAUCUACGGGGCUGCCUGGUGUGGUUUGCGAGUGUGUUAAACUGUUAAUCUGAACACACAGGCAGCUGGUUUAGUGCAUUGGCUUGCAUUGGACCACCUAUUA